ACCCGUUAAAUCUGUGGCACAAUCGCACUGUAUUCUCAUAGGAUAACGAUCAAUGCUGAAGGUAUUGACCAACUCUUUGGUGGAAGGGAUAUUAGCAUUUGGAUCAUCUCUUUUGAAAUAUUUCUCCUCCCCAUGUUCAUUAUAUUCUGCUCCUGAUUGAGAUAACACUUGUAAAGCAAGCUCAUAGAGUAGUGGAUGUAGCCUAGCUGCUUCACUUAUUC
rnacentral:lncRNA from 1 species